GCAGGGCUCAAUCCCAGGACUGGGGAUCACGACCUGAGCCGAAGGCAGACAUUUAACCACCUGAGCCACCCAGACGCUCCUGGGAUGUGUUUUGAAGAGAAACUGCCUGGCAGAAGCUACACCUGGAUUCCCACUGCUGAACCCAUGUAACUGGCAUUUGGACUUUUCUACCCAGUUACCACCUUACGGUGGAAAUCUGUAAAUUCUUAAAGGGGUCUCUGCGGAGCUGUAGUGAGCGAAGGGGGAAGGGCUCAUUCUAUUUCCAGAGAGUAAUAGGGCUAGUGGAGUUUACAGCCAUACCCAGCUCAUCACACUUUCAUCAGGGUCUCAAGCAACAGAAACAGCAAUUUGGCAAAAUGAGACAGUGACUGGUUAUUCAACAAGACCCCUGAUGAGUAUUAUCUCAUUCAUGUGGUGAAUACAAUUAUCACAGAUGAGAAAACUGAAGCUCAGAGAGACCUACAGGUGACCUGACCAAGAUUAUGCAGUGGUAGAGGGAAGAUCUGAGCCCAGGGUUGUCUGAAUCCAGAGUGCAAAAAUCGUAAUCACCACGUGAAAAGGUUAUAAAGAAAUAAUGUGAAGACAUUCCCUAUUGGAUCUCAAUCCAAAUCGUUAUCCACAUUCAGACUGAAGAAUGUAGUGAGAUUUUCAGUUUUGUGAGAGUCUGUCCCUUCAAGGUGACUGUAAACUCCGAGGGGUCAGAGAUCACACCUGUCGGGCGCACACGUCAUGUCCAGAACCCGGCCCAGUGCUUGCUACACAAGAAAAAUGACAGGGACUCACUUUCCAAGAAAUUACAGUACGUUCAAUGACUUCCCAUCAAGAGUGAGCACUGUUCCGUGUCCUGCCAUUGGAUGAAGGGGCUAAGACUUGGAUUUUUCCGGAGGACCACAUGAGUGGCCAUUUCUGGAUGAACGAGGAGCUAAGCACCAUCUUGGGACCAGGACCCCUUCCCAAGCCAGUUCUCCUGGGACACCUCUCCGCGGACCGUCUCUCCCGGGUGGAAUGACAGUGGCUCUCUCUGCCUCCCAGGCUCGGAGGUAGGCUCUGCAGCGGGAAUGGCUCAGGAAUUCCAACCCCCCCAGGACCGGAGGACCUGCUGAGGCU